CAGCCGCCACGGGAAUACGGAGGGUGCAAGCGUUAAUCGGAAUUACUGGGCGUAAAGCGCACGCAGGCGGUUUGUUAAGUCAGAUGUGAAAUCCCCGCGCUUAACGUGGGAACUGCAUUUGAAACUGGCAAGCUAGAGUCUUGUAGAGGGGGGUAGAAUUCCAGGUGUAGCGGUGAAAUGCGUAGAGAUCUGGAGGAAUACCGGUGGCGAAGGCGGCCCCCUGGACAAAGACUGACGCUCAGGUGCGAAAGCGUGGGGAGCAAACAGGAUUAGAUACCCGUGUAGUCCCUGUCUCUUAUAC
rnacentral:rRNA from 1 species